rnacentral:lncRNA from 1 species
GUUUUUAUAAAUACAAAAAAUAAUAAAAUAGUGUUUAUAAAUCAAAAAAAUGUUUUAUAAAUAUAAAAUUAGUUUUAAUAAAUAUAAAUAUUUUUAUAAAUAUGAAAUAAUCUUUUCAUAAAUACAAAAUAUUUUUUUAAAAAUACAAAAAUAAUAAAAUAGUGUUUAUAAAUAAAUAAAAUGUUUUAUAAAUACAAAAUUAGUUUUAAUAAAUAUAAAUAUUUUUAUAGAUAUGAAAUCAUCUUUUUAUAAAAAUAAAAUAGUUUUUAUAAAUACAAAAAAAUAAUAAAAUAGUGUUUAUAAAUCAAAAAAUGUUUUAUAAAUACAAAAUUAGUUUUAUAAAUAUAAAUAUUUUUAUAGAUAUGAAAUCAUCUUUUUAUAAAUACAAAAUAGCUUUUAUAAAUACAAAAAUAAUAAAAUAGUGUUUAUAAAUCAAAAAAAUAUUUUAUAAAUACAAAAUUAGUUUUAAAAUAUGAAAUCAUCUUUUAUAAAUCCAAAAAUCGAAUUUAUAUACAAAAAACGUUUUUUAUAUUUAAAAAUAGUUUCUAUAAAUACAAAAAUAAUAAAAAAAUUAUAAAAAAAUUCUAAAUCAAUUCAACACAACCAAAUCACAAUUCUAAACCUAUUACACAACAAAUCACAAUCCUACCCAAUCACCCUAACAAAAAUCUAUCAAAAAACUUCUAAAAUCAUCAAAUCUACUUAAGAACCUAACAAAUAGGACAUAAGAGAGUGGGAUAAGGUCCUUACAUGAUUUGUAAGGAAAUGGAGAGGAUUCGCCGGAGAUAUCGUCGCGAGAGAAGGUGGAGAACGCCGGAAGGAGAGAGAGAUCGCCGGAGAGGAAGAAGAGAGAAAUGGGGAAGAAGAUGUGUUUCGAGUUUAUAAAACCUAGGGUCCGACGGAUAUUUUCCGUCGGAAUUUCCUCAGUAUUUUCAAUUUCAAUUUUCGCGAAAUAUUUGGCGGCUUGUUUGCCCGGUUAAAUGAAAAUAUUCC